rnacentral:rRNA from 1 species
AACAGGAUUAGAUACCCUGGUAGUCCACGCCGUAAACGAUGUCGACUAGCCGUUGGGUGCCUCGAGCACUUAGUGGCGCAGUUAACGCGAUAAGUCGACCGCCCGGGGAGUACGGCCGCAAGGUUAAAACUCAAAUGAAUUGACGGGGGCCCGCACAAGCGGUGGAGCAUGUGGUUUAAUUCGAUGCAACGCGAAGAACCUUACCUACCCUUGACAUCCUCGGAAUCCGCCGGAGACGGCGGAGUGCCUUCGGGAACCGAGUGACAGGUGCUGCAUGGCUGUCGUCAGCUCGUGUUGUGAAAUGUUGGGUUAAGUCCCGUAACGAGCGCAACCCCUGUCCCUAUUUGCCAGCGAUUCGGUCGGGAACUCUAGGGAGACUGCCGGUGACAAACCGGAGGAAGGUGGGGACGACGUCAAGUCAUCAUGGCCCUUACGGGUAGGGCUACACACGUGCUACAAUGGCAGGUACAAAGGGUUGCAAGACGGCGACGUGGAGCUAAUCCCAUAAAGCCUGCCUCAGUCCGGAUCGGAGUCUGCAACUCGACUCCGUGAAGUCGGAGUCGCUAGUAAUCGUGAAUCAGAAUGUCACGGUGAAUACGUUCCCGGGCCUUGUACACACCGCCCGUCACACCAUGGGAGUGGACUGCACCAGAAGUGGUUAGCUUAACCUUCGGGAGAGCGAUCACCACGGUGUGGUUCAUGACUGGGGUGAAGUCGUAACAAGGUAACC